UGUUUCUUCCUUUUCUUUUUCUUUCCUUUUCUUUCUCUCCUCUUUCU
rnacentral:ribozyme from 14 species